GACGAACGCUGGCGGCGUGCUUAACACAUGCAAGUCGAACGCAGUGGCGCACGGGUGAGUAACGUGUAAUCAACCUGCCCUUCAGAGGGGGACAAAAGUUGGACACGACUGCUAAUACCGCAAACUGAAGGAGGGUAUUGCGUCGGAUUAGCUAGUUGGAGGGGUAACGGCCCACCAAGGCGAUGAUCAGUAGCCGGUCUGAGAGGAUGAACGGCCACAUUGGGACUGAGACACGGCCCAGACUCCUACGGGAGGCAGCAGUGGGGAAUCUUCCGCAAUGGACGAAAGUCUGACGGAGCAACGCCGCGUGAGUGAUGACGGCCUUCGGGUUGUAAAGCUCUGUUAAUCGGGACGCGGUACCGGAAUAGAAAGCCACGGCUAACUACGUGCCAGCAGCCGCGGUAAUAC
rnacentral:rRNA from 1 species